rnacentral:rRNA from 1 species
CACUCCUGCGGGAGGCAGCAGUGGGGAAUAUUGCACCAUGGGCGCAAGCCUGAUGCAGCCAUGCCGCGUGUAUGAAGAAGGCCUUCGGGUUGUAAAGUACUUUCAGCGGGGAGGAAGGCAAUACGGUUAAUAACCGUGUUGAUUGACGUUACCCGCAGAAGAAGCACCGGCUAACUCCGUGCCAGCAGCCGCGGUAAUACGGAGGGUGCAAGCGUUAAUCGGAAUUACUGGGCGUAAAGCGCACGCAGGCGGUCUGUCAAGUCGGAUGUGAAAUCCCCGGGCUCAACCUGGGAACUGCAUUCGAAACUGGCAGGCUUGAGUCUUGUAGAGGGGGGUAGAAUUCCAGGUGUAGCGGUGAAAUGCGUAGAGAUCUGGAGGAAUACCGGUGGCGAAGGCGGCCCCCUGGACAAAGACUGACGCUCAGGUGCGAAAGCGUGGGGAGCAAACAGGAUUAGAUACCCCAGUAGUCCCAUG